UCAGAAUUUUUUGACUUUGAUGUAUAAGGGAUGAAAAACAGAUCAAGUGAGCCCUGUGUUUGCCACAACUUCCAAUAGGAAAAUCCUGGAACAAACAUACCAGAUUCCAUUCACAGAUUCCAAGAUCUGUGAUCUACUCUGGGAAAAAUGACCGCCCCUCAUGAAGUUUUGUUACUGACCUCUCGUGGACUUUAGCUCUCCAUCUCUGCUGAGGAGAUAUGAAAGUAUUCGCAUUUCUCCUGUUAAUGAAGGGAUCUUAGAACAGAAAAUAAAUAAAUGCAGUUUUGGUAA